AUUGAACGCUGGCGGCAGGCCUAACACAUGCAAGUCGAGCGAGCGGCGGACGGGUGAGUAAUGUAUGGGGACUGCCCGAUAGAGGGGGAUAACUAAUGGAAACGGUGGCUAAUACCGCAUAAUCACGGAUAACCCAUAUGGGAUUAGCUAGUAGGUGGGGUAAAGGCUCACCUAGGCGACGAUCUCUAGCUUGUCUGAGAGGAUGAUCAGCCACACGUGUACUGAGACACGGCCCAUACUCCUACGGAGGCAGCAGUGGGUAAUAUUGCACAAUGGGCGCAAGCCUGAUGCAGCCAUUCCGCUUGUAUGAAGAAGGCCUUCGGGUUGUAAAGUACUUUCAGUCGGGAGGCGUUACCGACAGAAGAAGCACCGGCUAACUCCGUGCCAGCCGCCGCGGUAAUUC
rnacentral:rRNA from 1 species